CGGGGUGCAGCAGGCGCGAAAACUUUACAAUGCGGGAAACCGUGAUAAGGGGACACCGAGUGCCAGCAUCAUAUGCUGGCUGUCCAGGUGUGUAAAAUACACCUGUUAGCAAGGGCCGGGCAAGACCGGUGCCAGCCGCCGCGGUAACACCGGCGGCCCGAGUGGUGAUCGUGAUUAUUGGGUCUAAAGGGUCCGUAGCCGGUUUGGUCAGUCCUCCGGGAAAUCUGAUAGCUCAACUAUUAGGCUUUCGGGGGAUACUGCCAGACUUGGAACCGGGAGAGGUAAGAGGUACUACAGGGGUAGGAGUGAAAUCUUGUAAUCCCUGUGGGACCACCUGUGGCGAAGGCGUCUUACCAGAACGGGUUCGACGGUGAGGGACGAAAGCUGGGGGCACGAACCGGAUUAGAUACCCGGGUAGUCCCAGCCGUAAACGAUGCUCGCUAGGUGUCAGGCAUGGCGCGACCGUGUCUGGUGCCGCAGGGAAGCCGUGAAGCGAGCCACCUGGGAAGUACGGCCGCAAGGCUGAAACUUAAAGGAAUUGGCGGGGGAGC
rnacentral:rRNA from 1 species